GUGGGGAAUCUUCCGCAAUGGACGAAAGUCUGACGGAGCAACGGCGCGUGAGUGAAGAAGGUUUUCGGAUCGUAAAGCUCUUUCGUUAGGGACGAACGUGCUCUUUGUGAAUAAUGAGGAGUAAUGACGGUACCUAAAUAAGAAGCCACGGCUAACUACGUGCCAGCAGCCGCGGUAAUACGUAGGUGGCAAGCGUUGUCCGGAAUUAUUGGGCGUAAAGCGCGCGCAGGCGGGAUAUCAAGUCUGUCUUAAAAGUGCGAGGCUCAACCUCGUGAGGGGACAGAAACUGGUAUUCUUGAGUGUCGGAGAGGAAAGUGGAAUUCCAAGUGUAGCGGUGAAAUGCGUAGAGAUUUGGAAGAACACCAGUGGCGAAGGCGACUUUCUGGACGAUGUCUGACGCUGAGGCGCGAAAGCUAGGGGAGCGAACGGGAUUAGAUACCCGGGUAGUCC
rnacentral:rRNA from 1 species